GGGAGGGAGGGCGAGAUGUGGCAGGAUGACAGGAAGCUCUGUUCCAAUGAGAUGAGUACUGCAGGCUGAUCUCCACUGACCCGUGAGGUCCUGCUAACUGGGCCUGUGGAGCUUUGCAUGUUGACUUUGGCUCCCCCUGUGCUGGAAUAGCCAAUUGUCCGGACUCCAAAUUUCCAGAACAUACAAUCCUCUCCACAUGGAGGCCAUUUACAGAGAAAACUGUUAAACCCCGAUAAUCCUUGCUAGUGGGACAGUGGCUAUUUAGCAAUUUCAGACCUACAAUUGCCACCAUGUUCUACUUCAGAGGCGGUGGGGUAGGACAGUGGCAAGGAACCCUGAACAGGGGUGGCCCUCCCCCCAACCCUCUGUGAGCUGCUAGUCUAGGCAGCCAGUUCCUGGACCCUGCUACUGGAGACUUGGUGGUGUCACAAGGCUUGGAGCUCAGGAGUGUGUUCAUUCACUCGGCAUUGGCUGAGUGCAUGGGGCAGGUCCAGUACAGUUCCAGGCUCGGGGCUAUUGCACUGAGGGGUCCUCAUUUGAUGGAGCACCCCACCUUUUCUCUCCCAUGAGAGUAGUCUCCCAGGGCUGGGGUUGGGGAGGCUGUAGGAGGUGGAGUUAGCACCUUCCUGGUCCUCACAGUGUCACUUCCUUCCAGACUUCCUGUCCUGUUGGGGCUGUUUUCCAGAGUGGGUUCUGUGGAACCCUGUCUCUGUGGGGUACAAGCAAAGGUCAGGCCUUCAAAGAGGAGACUCAGUGAUAGUAGAUAACAGGGCUACUGACAUCUAUUAUGACAGGAGCUGCUGCAUUCAAGUAGGUGAAGAAUUAUAAAAAUGAUGAUAUACCCUGACCUGUCUCCAGCAUCAACAAAGGACGUUCCAGUGAACGUUUUCAUCUUACCUGCAAAGUCUAGAAGCCGGAUUCAUUGCUUCCAUUUCACAGAUGAGACUCUCCGAGACCUUGCCCCUGCACAGGGGUGGCCCAGAACCGAGUUCAGAAAACGAAAGGCCACUUCAUCAUCUUUUCCAAGGUGGGUUAAACAGCAUGAUCUCUCAUUACCCAUUGACAGAAAUGGGAAAUGCAGAAUAACUAGUUUCGGCCAAUUCUGA
rnacentral:lncRNA from 1 species